rnacentral:lncRNA from 10 species
GACACUUCUCUAACUCUGCUUUCUUUACCAGGUAGCAUUUGUCUCCACGGUUGGAAGACUGCUGCUGCAGCACAGACUGGUGUCUCUAUUAAUAGAUAUCUCAGUUGCACUACAGACAGGAAGAAGGGCAAAGGGGAAGAACACGAUGGCUUUUAGCAGCCUGACGCCUUGGUUUUUAGUUUCUGUCUCUAGUGACAGGUGGAAAAGAAGGAUGAGGAAGGGGCUUUACUGGCCCAACCAGAAAUAGUAACUAAGAACCCAUGACUGUAUUCUCUCCCUUGGACACCCCUGGGAAGCUCUGUACUGAAAAAAAAUGAAAGCCUUCCAGAUGUGUUCUGCUAUGGUCCACAGGCUGGAGGGUGCAUGGAACCCACCCAGAGGUGCUCUGCAAUCAGCAAUUCAGUGAGCCAUUCACAGUCCAACCAGUUGCCUUCUGAUGAGAAUGCAUCACACCGCAUGUGGGGAGGGCCAUGUGGGAAUUCUCACACCUGUUGCCUAGAUGCCUGUGUCUGGUUAGAACCACUGCAUGCUUUCUUUCAGUCUACAUUGAAUACGUCUUUGCUGCUCUGGGAUCCAUCCUCCAGUCUUCAGUCAGCUAAGAAAAUGACCUGUGGGCACGUUGGCUUCCUUUCUUCGGAUUAAGUGGUUGUUCAGAGAGAGGCUGAGUCUGAUUGUUUACACAAGAAGGAAGUGAACACUGGCUGUGUGCCUGGCACUGUUAGGAGCCAUCAAACCAUGUCCAGAAAGGACGCAGGGAAAGGAGAUGUCGAUGUUUCCAGACAUUUUGUGAUGUGAAGAGAGCGCCUGAAGAUUCUAGAUUCUUCCCUAUGAAUUCAUGUUCCUUUUGCAAUCAGAAAAGAAAAAGAAGUACUUUAUUUCACUUCCCCAGUUAUGAAUGCCUUGGGAGCCGGGAUUCUACCACGGCCGAGCCUGCCGUUCUCCCGGGAUUUUAUCCUGGUGGGCCUUUUGAAGCUGGUACAGAGAUAACAGACUCUUCUGCUGGCCUUCAAGAAGCAAGCUGCUGUGAGCUCUACAGCUGCACUGAACUGAAUUCUGCAAACAACUGUGCUUGGAAGAGGACCCUGAGCCUCACAUGAGACCCCAGCCCCAUCCAUUCCCUGGACUGCAGCUUUGUGAGACCCCCAGUUAAGUGUGCCUAGACUCCUGACCCAUGGACACUGUGAAAUAGUAAGCGUGUGUUGUUUUAAGUAACUUUGUAGUAAUUAUUUUUUACAUAGCAAUGGGAAAUCAAUACAAAUACUAUUUUAAAAAUCCAAAGUAAAUCCAGUACCCCCACCAUUACCUCAAUACCCACAGUCAUUGGCUGGGAGCAGCCUGGGAGAGCAGGCUCUUGUUAAGGGUUCAGGAAGGAAUCAAAGGUGUGGUAGCUGGAGGCUGUCAGCCAGGUUCUUUCCAAGGGAGAUGGAGCAGCCCAACUCCAGGUCCCCACACCUCCUGCUGACAUCUCCACCCACAAUUCAGCCGCUUCCCUCCCUCUUUAUUAAGACUUUUCUUGUGAAAUCACUAAAGACCUGCAAAUCCCCAGGCCAGGAUGAAGCCCACCAUCUCCUUUCUCUGUGCCUGCAACUGUGCCUCUAAGCCUUGGCAAUGGAAACGAAAGACACACCUUAGUAGUCACUGUAAAUGGAUCAUUGUCACCUUCCAAUGGACACACAACACUGCCCCUAACUCACAACACUCUCUAAUAAGUAUGUUCUUCUUCUCUUUGCAAUGGCAACCUCAUACCUUCUCUAAACUUCUCAAACCUCCCACCUCUCCUCCUCAUCCCCAACCCCUACCUGGCCCUUCACUUGAGACUCCGGCUGCUUAAUUAUACUUACUUGAGAAAAUGAAAUCUAUCAGUUUAGCACUCUCAUUUCCCCAUAACUGUAACCGCCCAAUGGGUUCACCUUGCCCGCUGCCUAGACAGAGCCUAUUUCCCAAGACAGGUGAAUUGCAAAGAGAAAGAGUGAUUCACACAGAGCCGGCUGUGCAGGAGACCAGAGUUUUGUUAUUACUCAAAUUAAUCUCCCAGAGCAUUCAGGCAUCAGAGUUUUUAAGGACAACUUAGUAGGUGGGGGGAAACCAGUGAAGCCAGGAGUGCUGAUUGGUCAGGUCAGAGGUGAAAUCAGGGGAAGUUGAGGCUGUCCUCUUGUGCUGAGUCAGUUCCUGGAUGGGGGCCACAAGAUCAGAUGAGCCAGUUUAUCAAUCUGGGUGGUGCAAGUUGAUCCAUCAAGUGCAGGGUCUGGAAAAUAUCUCAAGCACUGAUCUUAGGAGCAGUUGAGGGAGGGUCAGACUCUUGUAGUCUCCAGCUACAUAACACCUAAACCAUAAUUUAUAAUCUUGUGGCUCAUUUUUUGGUCCUAUAAAGGCAGUCUAGUCCCCAGGCAAGAAGGAGGUUUGUUUUGGGUAAAGGCUGUUAUCGUCUUUAUUUUAAACUAUAAACUAAGUUCCUCCCAAAGUUAGUUCAGCAUACGUCCAGGAAGGAGCAAGGACAACUUAAAAGUUUAGAACCAAGAUGGAGUCGGUUACGUUAGAUCUCUUUCACUGUCUCAGUCAUAAUUUUCCAAAGGCAGUUUCAUAACUAAUUUACAAAGCUCCCCCGGCCUGUCCCUUUCUUAUUUCUUCUUCCUGACAAAAUGAAGGGGGCAUUGCUUCUCCUAGCAAUGGCCAGUCCCUGUCAUGGCUCAGGGCCAGGUCUUCAUAAGGAUGUAACCAAAUCCAGGUUGAAAACCAAACGUUGAGAGACAAGAGUUGGGAGGAAAAGCAUGUUUAUUGGAGAACCAGCAAACUGAGAAGAUGGUGGGUUAGUGUCCUAAAAUACUGUCUCAAGUCAGUACAAAUUCCAGGCUUUUUUUAAUGUUAAGGUCAGGAGGAACAGGAGGGCCUUGGUAUCAAGAUGUAACCGAUGAUUGUCGACAACUCUGCACCAGCAAGGGUCUGAAGAAGUUGGGAAUUUCUUUGUCUUUGGUCAGGUCACAACGCUCCAAUAAAUCUUUAACCAAACA